UGAAAAUGACGUGUUUAUAUAUACAGAGAUUUUCUCAUAGAGGAUUACUCGAGACUGGUUUUGCUACUUUGUGCUUUCAUUGUUGUUAUUUUCAAUAGAUCCUCAAAGAUUCAGUAAAAUAUUUUCAAACCAAAUCAUGAUAUUCCAAACAC
rnacentral:ribozyme from 1 species